rnacentral:lncRNA from 1 species
ACAAUUCGAUGUAGAGUGGCUUGGUCUAGAUAUAAGUUAGGUCUGUUCUCACUUCCGUCAACUAGUCAGGUAAGAGGUGGGGUCGUGGGAGUCCUCCUGUUGCUUGUCUUAGACACCAAUUAGAUUGAUCAGAUAAGCUAAUGGAACUAAUUAAAUAACUAUGAGUCCGCUCAGGCUUAGUUUUUAUAACUUUUUAUCU